UCUGUGUCACUGCGAAUUGUGGGAAAUGCAUGGAGACUCCUACUCCUAGUGUAGUUCGGACGCCACUUUCCGCAGUAUCUGGCAGGCACAAUACAUUGUGUACCAGUAGAAUCGGAACACCAUAUCGCACAUCAAAUGUUCGACGAUUUGGAUCACUUGGCACUUCCUGGCGGACACCAGUCAGUCAUCAUGCCUACAGUAGUUCCCUGCAUGCAUCCAAUAAAUCCAGCACCCCACGGCAACCUAGGGACUCGGUAUCUAUGGUGACCACCAGGAAUGAGAUAGAAGAAAACAACAUCAAACAAUUGAUUGGCAAGCAGUGGCAUGCCUUCCGACUCACCAUUUAUACAACUUCAAGACUACUUCAUAAACAUAUGUGUUGUCCUAUUAAAUUAAAGUUCUUGCUAACUUAAACAGCAUGAACAUUCACGAUAAUGUCCUGUCAAAUCAAACAAAUUUCAUGUUUGCUUCAGUUGCAACAUAUAAUUAUAAAUUACAACGUUUUAAUGAAUAAUGUUUCUUACGAAAUGUUCCAAAACUAGGAUACUUGCAUAUUUUCAAAGUCCAAAUCAAAUUGACAUCCGCUAUUGUUUUUGACAACAAUGAUUUAUUUUGUACGCUGGAAGAUAACAAAUUUAAACAAUUAACUCAAUAACAAACACGUAACAGCGACACGUGUUCUCGAAUAUCUUAUUCUCUUCAUACAUAUUUCAGAUGUUUACUUUUAAUAUACUUCAAGAGUGUUUAUUAAUUUGCUUACACUUGAAUUCGCAGUACGCCCACUUUUGACACUAUGAUAAAGGUACGAGCCUCAAAAACCUGAUCGGUUUUAAGCUAUUAAUUACUGUUUGUUAAUUAACAACAAUAAUGUAAAACUAGGGAUUCCGGUUAUUUUCUUGCUAUGCAUAUGUUGGGAAAUAAACCUGUACCGGAACAGUAGUCCGGUUUGGAUAAGAGUUCAGUAUUGGAAGGAGACGUUUAAGAUGGUUUCCACCGUAUUUGUCAUGUUAUAGAUUUUAAAUCUUUAUGUUUUCUUCAUCUUAAAACUUACAUGUCACAUUUACAUUGCUUGACAUAUUAUAUUAAGAUUAGAUUAAUUUGUAUGAAUCUUUGGUUUGUAAAUACUUGAAGUUUAAUAAUGCAAUAACUUUCACAAUUUGUUUAUUCAUUUAUCUAAUAGUCGUACUUAUUAAAUAGUUUUACCUGGCUUAGGAUACAUUUGGAGCCAUCUGGAGUUAGCACGAUUUCAUAUCCCUUAAAUAAAACGAACUAAUAUGUAAUUACUUAGUCCAUUGAUUACUGUUAAUUGAAAUAUACAAGAGCACGAAUGCACAACAAAAUAGAAUAAAACUCUGUUUGAUAUAUAGCCUUAUUCAAUAUACAAUAGACAUACAGUCCAUGAGAACACAUGUUCAAAAACAUAGUACAUUUGUAACAUACAAAUGCAUGCAAUGUGAUCAAUAUCAAAUUUCAUAAGUUGUUAAAUAAAGUAUAAAUUCAUGGAAAGGUCUUGGACAAUUUGAUUUAAACAAUAAGAACUCUUUACAAUGUUAAGAAAAGUGUUGCAACCUCCUCAAAGACAUCAAUGGUUGCCAGAUUUUCUCCAUCAGCAGCUGUGACUAUUAACACCUCUUCGGUCCCCAGUU